GACGAACGCUGGCGGCGUGCCUAAUACAUGCAAGUAGAACGCUGAAGGAGGAGCUUGCUUCUCCGGAUGAGUUGCGAACGGGUGAGUAACGCGUAGGUAACCUGCCUGGUAGCGGGGGAUAACUAUUGGAAACGAUAGCUAAUACCGCAUAACAGUAGAUGUUGCAUGACAUUUGCUUAAAAGGUGCAAUUGCAUCACUACCAGAUGGACCUGCGUUGUAUUAGCUAGUUGGUGAGGUAACGGCUCACCAAGGCGACGAUACAUAGCCGACCUGAGAGGGUGAUCGGCCACACUGGGACUGAGACACGGCCCAGACUCCUACGGGAGGCAGCAGUAGGGAAUCUUCGGCAAUGGACGGAAGUCUGACCGAGCAACGCCGCGGGAGUGAAGAAGGGUUUCGGAUCGGAAAGCUCUGUUGUAAGAGAAGAAAGAGUGUGAGAGUGGAAAGUUCACACUGUGACGGUAGCUUACCAGAAAGAGACGGCUAACUACGUG
rnacentral:rRNA from 1 species